UCCCUUUUGCUUUUGCAACCCGAGGCAGGAUGUGUCCUGUCCCCAAAGAUCCAAUCUUUAUCCUCCUUGCACAUACCUCGCUGCCAAAAAAAGCUAAAGAGGCCACUGAUUGGGGCUGCCUCCUUAAAUCUUGCAUGUGUGGGAACUAGGAAGCCAUUGGUCACGGGUACCGGUUCCUGCAGUCGCUACUGUACCUGUGUCCUGUGUCCUCACUGUUUCAGUGUUUGUUCUUGUUACUUGUUACUGAUGAUGUUCUUGUGAAUGAAGGGUUGGGCCUGAGCUCAGGGGCUAGCAAGAUGCAGGGGGUGUUGUCGAGGGUGAGGGGGCCAUUCACUCCGACGCAGUGGAUGGAGCUGGAGCACCAGGCCUUGAUCUACAAGCACUUUGCUGUGAAUGCUCCGGUGCCAUCCAGCUUGCUCCUUCCCAUCAAAAGAAGUAUCAAUCCAUGGAGUGGUCUUGGCUCCAGCUCAUUAGGGUGGACAGUAUUUCCUCCUGGUUCUGGUGAUGUUGAACCAGGAAGAUGCCGUCGUCCAUUAUGCUGCCCAGAAGUUUUAUGCGACUACAGCAUUCUAUAUGCAAAAUUAGUGACUUGGGUGAUAUGAAAUUCUGAAUUUGCUUCAAUUUUUGGGUGGUUAUGUCAUUCUCAUAUUGGAGCUACAUUUUACAGUAGGGUGGACAGUAUUUCCUCCUGGUUCUGGUGAUGUUGAACCAGGAAGAUGCCGUCGUACUGAUGGCAAGAAGUGGCGUUGCUCGAGAGAUGCUAUUGGUGACCAAAAGUACUGCGAGCGACACAUAAAACGCAAUUGCCACCGUUCAAGAAAGCAUGUGGAAAGCCGAAAGGCGACACCCACCAUUGCAGAACCAUCCCUGGCUGUUUCUGGUGGACCAUCAUUGCCAAGUUAUGCUGUGCCUUGGCAGCAGCAGGUGAAAAGCUCAGCUGCUAAUGUGACUGAUCCUUUCUCAAGAGAAUCUAACAGGAAGUUGCUGGAGAAACAGAAUGUACACAGCCAGUUAUCAGUAUCAACUCCCAUGGAUUCUUUCAAUUUUUCAACCUCAGGUUCUUCCCAGAACCGUGACAUAGUAGCAUUAUCACCAGUGGAGUUUCAGCAUGAUCAUGAUCAGGCAUACCUUGUGCACGGAGUUGGCAGUUCAGCAGAAAAUGAUAAUGAGUUGCAGGAAAGUCUUUUACUAGUCUCCAAGGAAACUCUUGAUGAUGGGCCUCUAGGUGAGGUUUUUAAAAGCAAAAGUUGCCAAUCAGCAUAUGCGGACAUCUUAACUGACCAAUGGACUGCAACCCGUGAUAUGCAUUCCCCAACUGGAAUCCUACAACUGUCUAAUAGCAACACAAUGCCACUAGAGAACCACAUAAAUAGCAAUGACUAUCUUAUGGCAACAAUGGUGAAUGCUCAGACUGUCCCAACAUUCCUUUAAUUGUUCAUCAGGCCUGUCUUGUCGGAACCAUAAAUAACUGAAACUGUGUUCAUGGCAUCAGUCUGCUGAUACUAGGUUUCUAGUCUUGUCAUCUACUACUCCUGUUUUAGUUGUUACAUGUUCAAGCUAUGCCGCCUUUUCCUUUUCAGUUUAGGUGAAUUAGUCUUCUUUUGCCCUGUAAAGAAUUUGAAUUCCAAUCUGAGAUUGGGAUUCAUGUUGGUUGCCUAACAUGGAGGCAUUAUGCAAUCCUGGUUUCCAAUGGAGCAA